rnacentral:rRNA from 1 species
GAUGAACGCUAGCGGCAGGCCUAACACAUGCAAGUCGAGGGAGAAGCCCUUUCGGGGGCAGAAACCGGCGCACGGGUGCGUAACGCGUAUGCAACCUUCCUUUCACCGUGGGAUAGCCCGAAGAACUUUGGAUUAAUACCCCAUAAUAUUAUUGGAUGGCAUCAUUUGAUAAUUAAAACUGCGGUGGUGAAAGAUGGGCAUGCGUCCUAUUAGCUAGUUGGAGUGGUAACGGCACCCCAAGGCUACGAUAGGUAGGGGUCCUGAGAGGGAGAUCCCCCACACUGGUACUGAGACAGGGACCAGACACCUACGGGAGGCAGCAGUGAGGAAUAUAGGUCAAGGGUCGGAAGACUGAACCAGCCAUGCCGCGUGCAGGAAGAAUGCGUUAUGGGUUGUAAACUGCUUUUAGAUGGGAAGAAUAAGGCGUACGUGUACGUUGAUGACGGUACCAUAUGAAUAAGCAUCGGCUAACUCCGUG